rnacentral:rRNA from 1 species
UACGGGGGGGGCAAGCGUUGUUCGGAAUUACUGGGCGUAAAGGGCUCGUAGGCGGCCAACUAAGUCAGACGUGAAAUCCCCAGGCUUAGCCUGGGAACUGCGUCUGAUACUGGAUGGCUUGAAUCCGGGAGAGGGAUGCAGAAUUCCAGGUGUAGCGGUGAAAUGCGUAGAUAUCUGGAGGAAUACCGGUGGCGAAGGCGGCAUCCUGGACCGGCAUUGACGCUGAGGAGCGAAAGCUAGGGGAGCAAACGGG